rnacentral:tRNA from 1 species
GAGAGAUGGCAGAGUGGUCGAAUGCGGCGGUCUUGAAAACCGUUGAUCUUCACGGGUCCGGGGGUUCGAAUCCCUCUCUCUCC